AUUGAACGCUGGCGGCAUGCCUUACACAUGCAAGUCGAACGGUAACAGGUCUUCGGAUGCUGACGAGUGGCGAACGGGUGAGUAAUACAUCGGAACGUGCCUAGUAGUGGGGGAUAACUACUCGAAAGAGUGGCCAAUACCGCAUGAGAUCUACGGAUGAAAGCAGGGGAUCGCAAGACCUUGUGCCACUAGAGCGGCCGAUGGCAGAUUAGGUAGUUGGUGGGAUAAAAGCUUACCAAGCCGACGAUCUGUAGCUGGUCUGAGAGGACGAUUAGCCACACUGGAACUGAGACGCGGCCCAGACUCCUACGGGAGGCAGCAGUGGGGAAUUUUGGACAAUGGGCGCAAGCCUGAUCCAGCAAUGCCGCGUGCAGGAUGAAGGCCUUCGGGUUGUAAACUGCUUUUGUACGGAACGAAAAGCCCCGGGUUAAUACCCUGGGGUCAUGACGGUACCGUAAGAAUAAGCACCGGCUAACUACGUGCCAGCAGCCGCGGUAA
rnacentral:rRNA from 1 species